rnacentral:rRNA from 1 species
UACGUAGGGUGCAAGCGUUGUCCGGAAUUACUGGGCGUAAAGAGCUCGUAUGUGGUUUGUCGCGUCGUCUGUGAAAUCCCGGGGCUUAACUUCGGGCGUGCAGGCGAUACGGGCAAUACUUGAGUGCUGUAGGGGAGACUGGAAUUCCUGGUGUAGCGGUGAAAUGCGCAGAUAUCAGGAGGAACACCAAUGGCGAAGGCAGGUCUCUGGGCAGUUACUGACGCUGAGGAGCGAAAGCAUGGGUAGCGAACAGGAUUA